UACUACCUCCGUCCUGUUUUUUGAUACAAUAUUUUGACUCUUCGUCUUAUUUGAACUUCUUUUGCGAUUAAUAUUUUUUCUCUUGCUAGAUGAUAAAACAUAAAUAGUAUUUUAUGCGUGACUAAUUUUUUAAAGUUUUUUACAAAUUUUUUAAAUAAGACGAACGGUCAAACGUUAGGCACGAAAAAACA
rnacentral:pre_miRNA from 1 species